CCUCUCCUGGGGUAGGGUAGGGUUUCUUUCCGUUUCUCCCCACAGCUCCCACUACCCCCCACCUUCUUCACCACCUCCCUUGCUUUGCUCCCUUCUCUAGGGCUCACAACCCCCCCUCUCCCUCCUCUCACCCCCCGCCGCUCCCCUCCCUCCGCCCCCAAAAGAUCCCUUCCCAACCCGACCAAAAUAGAGUCUUCUAGAGACCCAUCAAAUACCAUGAAACAUUCAAUGCAUCCUUAAAGCCUCCCCCCUCCACUCCCUUUUCCUCAUCCAUAUAAAUAAAUACAGAUCUCUACCCCCUGGAUCUCAUCGGCUUCUCUUCGAGAGCAUAUUACCAGGAGCGAGCGAGACGUCGGUCGAUGGCGAAGACGAAGCCGGGGAAGAAGGAUUUGGAUUCCUACACCAUCAGAGGCACCAACAAGGUCGUCCGAGCGGGGGACUGCGUGCUGAUGCGGCCCGCGGACUCUGAUAAGCAGCCGUAUGUCGCACGGGUGGAGAAGAUCGAGGCGGACCACCGUGGGAACGUGCGCGUCCGGGUGCGGUGGUACUACCGGCCGGAGGAGUCGAUCGGUGGGCGGCGCCAGUUCCACGGGGCCAAGGAGCUCUUCCUCUCGGACCACUAUGACGUGCAGAGCGCCCACACCAUCGAGGGCAAGUGCGUCGUCCACUCCUUCAAGAAUUAUACCAAGCUUGAGAACGUCGGCACCGAGGAUUACUUCUGCCGCUUCGAGUACAACGCUGCCACUGGGGGGUUCACUCCCGACCGGGUCGCCGUGUACUGCAAGUGUGAGAUGCCGUAUAACCCGGAUGACCUCAUGGUCCAGUGUGAGGGAUGCAAGGACUGGGGCUUAGUGUACUUCUCGGUCAAUCAAUUGUUCCAUUUGCUGCUUGACACUUUUAGUUGAUGUAUCAUGUCAAAGGCCAUUUCAAUCCUUUGAAUUGUAGUGCUUUUGUUGUGCUUGCUAUUGUGGAAGCUCUCGGUUUCAUCCGUCAUGUAUGGGCAUGACUAUCGAGCAAGCUAAAAAAUUAGACCACUUUUUAUGUUCAGAUUGUUCCACCGAUGAUGAUGCCAAGAGAUCUUUGAAUGCUUUUCCUGUCUCACCACCUUCUGAGCCUAAGGUCGAAUCUAAAAGGCGAAAGAGGUAAUUGUUGAUACUGAAGGUAGUCACAGAUAAGCGAGCAUUUUCUGGUGAGGUUGCUCUUCCAUUAUUGUUGGUCAUGUAGAACUGUACAGUGCAGAGAUCUGACUGCUUGCACAAACUGGAGUCACCUUUUCUUUUCUAUUCUUCUAUCAUGCUUGGUAAUGAGUCUGUGGGAAGCUUCAUUGGGAUAAUUUAGUGCCUCCUUGUGUGUAUGAUUUGUGCAAAAUCUUGUUUUAUUUUCAUGGGCACUAUUUUGUAGAAAACGCCAGAGGCGAAUAUGUUACCGAUACUCCAUGAUGUGCGUAUGAAAGGACUUCUCUCUAUAUUUAAUU